AAUUUUGAGAUAAAGAUUGUCUCAGCAAUAGUUAUAGAUAGGCCCUUAUUUCAAAUUAUUGUCAACGUUAUUAACUCUAUCAAACAGAGAAGAAAAGAAAUAUCAAACAUCUAUGACACAAGAGAGAAGCAAAAGCUAGCUUACAUGAUUAUUCAAAAGGAGAGAUUUAAAUCACUUCACACACGGAAUCGCCGAUAUAUAAAUUUGUAGAUAAGAUCGUUAUACCAUUUGUUUACCUGCACGGAAAACAUUAGAGGUGAAACAACUGCUCCGAAGCCGACCGCAAAUCCAAUUGACAUGGCUAUGAAGAACCAAUCAAUUUCACCGCUUGAAGCUGGUGGCGGUGAAGGUGGUAACUCAGAAGGACGUGUUUGGCUUUCAUUCGUCAAAGGAGGUCCUUACAAUCCUUUGUUUCCUUCAUAAGAACUUGGUGAAAAUGAUUGGAGUUGAGUACUUGUCGGAAUCUUUCCCACUAAGUUAUUGUAUGAGAGAUUUAGGACCGAUAGGAAAUUUAGGCUUGCAAGCUGGGCAGGAAUUUUCCCGCUGAGGUUGUUCAUUGAGAGGUCCAAGGACUCAAUCUCUUUCAAGUUCCCAAAAGAUGAUGGUAUCGAGCCUGUGAGAGCAUUGUGCGACAUGUUCAGAGCAUAAAGUGAUCUGAAUCGUCCCAUUUCUACUGGUAUUGGCCCUUCGAAAUUGUUGCUUGAAAAGUCAAUGGAAGUGAAUAUAUUUGGGACCUUCAGUAGCUUGAUCUCUAUACCUUUUACUGUAACUGUUACUCUAACCUCAUAGAAUUGGUUGCUCGGCAUCUCAAUUCCAAGGUGGUUCACCUCAGAUCCGGAUUUGGUUUCAGCCACCAUCAUGGUAAGUAACCACUUUUGUGAAAGUCUUCCGCUGAAUUUAUUGCAUGCUAAGUCGACUAUUUGAAGCAGAGGCCAGGAGACUUUAUUUCUCGGACAGCUAAUGUGUCCGGAGAAGUUGUUGGAUCGCAAAACUAGAACUUGCAAACUAGAAGCAUUCCUUAACCAGCAUGGGAAAUUAUCACUGAUAUAGUUACUCCUGAGGUCUAAAACCUGCAGCAUAUUGCAAUUGGCAAGAGAUUUUGGAACCACUCCUUGUAGUUGAUUUCCACUGAGAUCUAGAAUUUGCAACCCACAAUCUCCUGGAAAUAUUGUGUCAGAAAGAGUGCCAUUGAGGUUGUUUCUCCCUAAAUUUAAAACCUCCAGAGUGCUGCUACUCUUGGUGAUUAAACAUGCAGGAAUUGUGCCACUCAAAUUGUUGUUUGAUAAGUCAAGAACUUGAAAAUUGGUAGCCUUGCAUACAGAUUCCGGGAUGACUCCAGCGAGACUAUUGUUUGCAGCGACAAAGUGUUUAUGGUUUUAUGCAUUUUUGUCAUUUAUUGUGAAUAUUAGUUCAAAUUAUUUAUGCAUAGAUGUUUUAUUUUUCAGAAAAUGUCUUCCCUGAGCCCACGUACUAUUAUUCUGAGUCAAAACAAACUCACUGGAGAGAACUAUAUAGAUUGGAAAAGAAAUCUAUUCAUUGUCCUGACUGCUGAAAAUUAUAAAUAUGUCUUAACCCAGCCAUGCCCCCCACUUCCAGCGGAUGAUGCUCAUAGAAAUCAGAGGAGGCUUUAUGAGAAAUGGCAAAAGGCCAAUGAAACGGAGCUGGUUGGAGUGCAGGUCAAGGAAGCGGAUACCAGAAAUAGAGUAAGGUUCUUGCAAGCUCACUACGAGGUUGUGUGAAAGAUUUAAGAACUUAAGAUUGCCACUACCAACUUCCCAAAUCCAAUUUGGUACUUCUCCAGAUAUUUGGUUAUCUGAAAUGUCCAAAACAGAAAGUUGUGAUUGGUUUUUUAGAAUAGGAAUGGCCCGUGGUUUGCUUGAAGCCAGUUUCAAUAUGCUAAACUUAUUGGAAGAAAGAUCGAGGGUAUAAAGGUUUCUGAGUUCAAAGAAUAUUGAAAUGGGGACAGGCCCUUCUAAUCUGUUGCCGCUUAAAUCAAGGUCAAACAAUACAGACGAGGACACGUUUGAAAUUUCAGGAAGUUGGUUCUCGAACUGGUUGUUGGAGAGCUGAAGCAUCUCCAGAUUUGGAAGUAGAAACAGAGAUCUGGGGAUACUUCCACUAAGUGAAUUGUGCCCCAAGACAACAAUUUGGAGAUUUAGAAGUUGUUCCCAGAAAGUGGAUGAGAUCCCGCCACUUAAAUUAUUGAACGAAAGGUCUAAGUUGUUGAGAUUUCUUGACUUGUGAAGAGAUGGGAUGGGACCAAAGAAAUGGUUAGAUGAGAAGUCCAUGUGAAAUAAUUGGGUAAACGAGGGAGGUGAUUGGUAUGUUUCCGGUGUGAGGGCGGCAGCAAACUCGGCGUCGGAGAUGGCUGGAAAUUAUGAACAGUGACUGCCUUUUGUGGUGAUGGCGGCUGGGAAGAGAAAAAGAUGGAUUUAGGGUUUUAAUAGUUUUUAUCAUUACGAUCACUAUAGUUCUAUAGAUUUUUUCUUUGGGCUGAUAAGUUUUAAUUUUUUGCAUUUAAGUCCAAAAACAGUUUUGAGCUUAAAGAAUCCUAGAUUUAGGCACAAUUAAAAUUUGGGUUUAAUGGAUUAAAAUGCAUAGACAAAAUUAAAUACAUUAAAUUUAUUUUUGGUCCAAAAGUUUUAUUUUAAUAAUUGGGCCAAAAACUCUGUACCUGAAGACAGACCAUAAUUGUAAUGCAAACGAAUCACGGAGAGUGACCGUGACUUUGCCAGGUAGUGAUUGAUUGGACCUGAAAGAUCACACCCGGACAAGCUUAAAACUUGUAGAUUGGGCAGAAAUGAUAAAGCUUUGCACCAUUCAGUUCCGGAGGCGGACAAAUCUACUUGAUCCAGAUGUAGCGAUCAAGAUGCAGUUCUGUGAGCUCUGUUAAGUUCUGCAGAAACAAGCUUAAGUUUGCGAUCCAAACUGUAUAGGAAUAUUCUAUGGGCACAAUACCUGACAAAUCAAGAGUAACCAACCUUGUCAAGCUUGAAAUCUCAGUGGGAAUCUCCCCUGCGAAGCCACCCUGGGAAAGAUUCAGGUAAGUCAAAUUUGUCAGGUUGCCCAAUCUGGAUGGUAUUUGGAAUCCUUUGAAGAGAGUGAAACCCAGAUUGAGGCUCUGCAGAUAUUGAAGAUCGAAAAGGCCAGUCGCAUUCUCAAGUCCGCCAAUGAUUGGUUCCCUGCUCAAGUCGAGACCAAUAACAUGACCAGCCUCAUCGCACCUUACACCGCUCCAAUCACAACAAUCGGAGCUUUGAUGGCUACUCCACUGACUCAGUUUUGUAGAUGGAAAGACACUGUCAUUGCUUAAUAUGAGACUGUUCUUCAUUUGGAGUAACAAAGAUUGUUGAUCGCUCUGACAUUGGCCAGAAACCAAAACCAUAUGUAUCCCAAAAUAAUUGGCUAAAAAGGGUAUCAAGAAAGGCCAUGAUAAGAGUAAAAUUGGUCGCAUUGUUUUAAUAAUUGCUGAAAUGAAACUCGGAGAGGAGUGAUGAAACUUGGGAGUUGCGAUGAAUUCAUUUAACAGGAAAAGGAUGGCCGAAGUUCCCUAGAAGUUACACCCCCAACGUAUAAACUGGGAGCUAGAAGACUACAAAAGUUCAAACCAAUUAAUGUUGCCAAGACUUGGGAGAAAAAAAAAAAGAAAAGAAAAUUGGAUCUUUUGGUUAAAUGCCUGCAUCAAAUACAGGAAUCUUCCAUUUCCAUAGGUCCAAAAUUACGACAGUAAAAAGUUAGUGGGGAUGUGCUGAAACCAAAGGCAGACAAAAUGGAUUCACGUUCUAAGGUUGCAUCAAAUACAGGAAUCUUCCAUUUCCAUAGGUCCAAAAUUACGACAGUAAAAAGUUAGUGGGAGAUCCACGCAUAAAACUAUAGAAGUAAGUCACUUAAAACUUGGUUGGGCUCAUUUCUUUUAGCAUUGUCUUUCAUUGUAUACUACGAAUAAAUAUCUUGUUACAACUUCUUUGGAAAAAAAAAAAAAGGUACUCUAUACACAAAUUCUAAAUUUGAAAAAUUAAUUUUUAUUUUGUACACUCUUUAAGAUGCCAAAACGAGAUACAUGCUUUUGGGAGAAACUUAUACGGCUAUCUCAGAUGAACAUGUACAACCCAUAUCAAUUUUUGCACCUAUAAAUUCUUUAAGAUCAAUAAGUAUGGACUUCACUACCCCAAUAAUAAUUGAAAACCAAAUUGUAAUCUGACACAAAAAAGAAGAAGAAGAAGAAGAAGAUGCUGACUGGGUUAUUAGGUUUAGAGUGCUUUAAUUUAUUUAUUUUUAAAUUAAAGACAAAAAAAUGAACACCUUCAUAGGGUGCAAGUAGAUUUACAAGAGAAAAAGAGGAGUAGACGGAAGGGUGGAAACAUUUAAAGUAAGAUUAGUAGCCAAAGAGUUUACUCAAAAAGAGGGAAUCGAUUAUGAGGAAACCUUUUCUCCGGUUGCUAUGCUUAAAUCCAUCAGGAUUCUGCUCUCCAUUGCUGCAGUGCUAGAUUAUGAAAUUUGGCAAAUGGAUGUCAAGACUGCCUUUCUUAACUAAUGAGUGUAUAUAUGAGUUUUAAAGUAAUUAAGUUGUAUUGGCUCAUUAAUAAAUAAAUCUUAAUAGUAAUUUAUAUGAUGAUUAAUUUUGUAAUUAAAUUAUUUUAUUAAAACCAGAGUGCUCAGAGUAGUUUUUAAUGUGGAAAUAGCCUAUAUCUUAUUGCAACUAAAAUUGAGCAUGAAUUCUUAGAGAUCAUCUAUGAAUAUUGCCCAUACAAUAUGUAUCUACGGUGGAACCAGUUUGGAGAUGAAUAUUGUCUCAAUGACAGAAGGCAAAGGCCCUUAUUUGAAAUUCUUGUUAAUUAUUUUAUUAACUUUGUCAAACAGAGAGAAGAAAAGAAAUCUCAAACAAAUAAGACAUUAUGUAUGUUUGGCAUACUUCAUCUAAUGGAUAUAAAUACUUAUUUAAUUAUAUAAACUCUUUUAAGAUUUAGUAGAGCUUUUAAAAAUUAAAUAAGUUAUUUUUUUCUCUACUAGUAAAAACUCAAAAUUUGGGUUUUUGGGAGUGAAUGUUAAAAAAGUUAUUUUUAAGAAUGUUAAAACACCUAAAAUAUCAUUUAUUUAUUCGAUAAUUUUAUUUCAUUCAUUUCAUAAUAUAAUUUUAAAAAACAUGCUUAUUAAACAAUUUUUUAAUUUUUAAUAAAAGCUUCCAUUGACAAACAAAUAACUAAAAUUAUUUUUAUGAAAACGCUAUUUAUAAAAGCUUUACUAAUAAAAACUCUAUUUAAUAAGCUAUAUUUAGAAAGCCAUACCAAAGUAAGUAUAAGAGAAAAUUAAAGCAAAAACUUUUAGGAUUAUUCAAAGCAAACUAAAAGUUUUUAGCUUUUAGGCGUAGACUUGGAAACUAAUUAAAAUAAUUUUGAAAUGAGGGAUAGGAUUUUGAAGGGAAUGAGUUAGAAACAAGCACCAAUGGAAUCGUUGGGACCUAGUAAAUCUGUGAUUAUUACAAUAUUAUAAUUAUAUAAUUCAUAGGAAGAUAAGGGUAUUAAUUAAAAUUUAGUCCAUUUCUUUGGAAUCUCUAUAUAUGUUCUGAUCCUCUUACUCCAUCGUUUUACAAAUUGUUGAUCUUGGCCUCCCCAAGUUCGUAGUUUCUUGAUUCUGAUCCCGUUGAACCAAAAUCAUGGCUCCAUGCAUCGCUGCUUAUAUUAAUUAGGAUUCUUUCUGCCUUUUGCAGUAUAUUAAUUAGCAUCAAACCUUAUUCAACCAAUAAAAAUCAGGGUCUUUAUUCAUUAUAAGAUCCAAUAAUUAAACAGAUUUACUUAAUUAAUCAGGUGAGUUUGAAUCUUGAAAUAAGUAUAAUAAAAAGAAUUAAUUUAGACUUUCACUAUUCCUCUACUAUGUUAAAAAAAAUCUUAAAAUUGAUUGAAUGCAAUUCGUUUUCGCGUCAAACUCAACUUUGAUUUGCUUGCGGGACCCGUAGACUUCGAAAAGUCUCGUAAGGAUACAGCUAACAUUUGACAGUGAUUUUAUUGCUUUUAAUUAAAAAAAAAAUUGAUUGAAUGUAAUUCAUCUCGCGCCGAACUGGACGCUAAUUUGCUCGUGGAACCCAAAGACUUGUAAAAGCCGUAAGGAGAGAGCUAACAAUUGAUAGUGAUUUUACAGGUUUUAUGAAGAGCCGACACAAGAUUCAUAGACACGUUGGAAAAUUAUUGGGAAAUUUACACUUUGACCACCUUCCAACUUUUAAUAUAAGAAAAAACCACAUUCCAUAUUUUUGUUACAAUAGCAAUUAUUUACAAGGUUUUUAGACUAGAAUUUUCAAAAACAAAAAUCCUUCUAAUAUCUAUUUUGUUAACUCCAUUAUAAUAAAAUAUCUCCCUGUUCAACUGGUGUUUAAAGCUAGCUCUAUAUGUAUUGUUGAUCUUUCAUAUGUAAUGUAAGGAUCGCAAUAGGACAUGGACUGAAAAUCCAAAGAUCAAUCACAUAAUGAGUAUCCGCUACUUUGCCCGCUGCUUCCAGCUUCGGCGAAGCUCUCUGUGGAUUGGACCCACAUGUACAAAAUGAUAAUCGUCUCUAGUUAAUUAAAAAGUGGUUAGAUUGAUUUGAUAGAUAAAAUUAAUCAUAUUCAUCAUAACUUUGUUUAAUCUCUAUCUCAUAAUUAAUGGGUUCCUCAUAUAAAAUGUAUGGCUUGGUUGUGUUAUUGCAAUUUUGUAUCCGAUCGCGCGUGUUUUUCUAUAGUAAUCUUGCUAUCGCUCUUUAAGGCACAUCGGCAGCCUCAUUAUUUCAUAUUUUUGUAAGAGGUAAUUAACUUAUAAUUCAAAAUAAAACAUAAAUUAUUAAUUUCAACGUCAAAUAUGGAGCUGUUCUUCAUCUAGAUUAAUAGCGAUUUUUGAUGGCCCUGACAUUGGCCAGACACCAAAACCAUAUGCAUCCCAAAAUAAUUAGCUAAAAAGGGUAUCAAGAAAAGCCAUGAUAAGAGUAAAGUUGAUCUCAUGAUUGGGUUUAAUACUAGUUGAAAUGAAACGAAGAGAAGGGAUGGAACUUGCAAGUUGCAAUGUGUAUGUAAUAUAGCAGAGUAAAGGUAGCCCAAGUUAAUUAAUUAGAAAGCAGCCGAAGAGGAAAUUGCAUUGUGUGUUUUUCAUGUUGGAUUUUGGAAUUGAAUUGUGUGUGGGGUUGAAAUAGUUGUGGAAUUGGUUGAAAUUGUUGUGGAAAGUGGAAUUGAAUUGUGUUUGAAAUGGUUGAGUAAUUUCCGAAUUGGUUGAAAUGGUGGUGGGAAAUGGGAAUUGAAUUGUGGGGUUAACUAUUUCGGUAUGGUCGGGUUGGGCCCGACCUGAUGUUGGCCCGAUUCGGGUCGAGCCUAACUAAAUAGUGUUCGGACUUUUUUAGGGUCGGGUUUCAAAUUUCUUUUGAUCGGGUCGGGUAGGGCUUGGCCGAGCCCGAGCCCGACCCGACAGGAGAAAGUAAAGCGUCCAUAUAUCCCACGCGCAUGUCAUUCAAUUAACUAAUUAUAUCAUCACAUCCCAUCAUCAUUAUCCUAUUAAAUGGAAUGUUCCAAGAAAGUAUUUGUAAGAGUUUUUUUUUUAAGUUUAAUCGUUCGAAAUGAUUAAAAGGUAGAUAAAUAUUGGCGAAUGUUGAGGUAUAUACUUAAAAGUAUCGAAAGAUAUUGAUGAGCUACCAACAUUUGUAUUUUUAUAUUUCCAACGUAUUUUGGUCAACUUUGCAAGCAUCUAAUAGAAAAUCUAUGUAAAAUUUAAAUUAAAAAAUUGAAAAUUACUUAUACAAUUUUGAUCUUACAAAUUUAUAAAAGUUAAAUAAAUAGGUUAGCAACUAUGGGUAUUAAGACAACUUUUGAUAUUACAGCAUGCUUGAAGAAAAUCUUUGAUGUUCUCCUAGCAUUGCACCUUAUCCAUUCAUUACUUACUAUAUAAUUAAUAAAAAUUGAAGUUUUUACAAAAAUUAGAGUUUCCCACAAUUAAUUGAAAGGAUUGUGUAGUAAACAAAGGAUUGUGUAGUAAAGAAAUCAAUGUGGCUUGGGACGAAUUAUUAUUCGAGCAUACAAUUAUGGAAGUCAGUUCCAAUCUUUUAGUGGAGUAGAUUUGGAAUUAAAUAAUUGGGCUAGUUUAAUUACAGGCCUAAUUAUUGUAGCCACUAUUGUAUGUUUCCAAAUGAUCUCCGGGUUAGCUCAUUUAAUUGACUGCACCACUACUGGACUAAUAAGCAAGAUAACUAGUUAUUUGGGUCAAAAGCCUAAAUAUAUCAUUUAGUGGGAGGCUCCAUUUAAUUAGCUUAUGUGUAAGGGGUCUUAUGUUAUUUUACAUGGUGGGUCCCCUAUUAAAUGAAAAGUAAGGUGAGUUUUAUUUUGGGCAUUAUUUGGAGUCUAGGGUUUUCACUAAAGGGAGAUAUAUAAGGCUUAUUUUCUCAAAAGAAAAAAGGUGAAGCCACUUUAUACAAAUCGGAGAAUAAGAUUUUUCUCUCUAUUGUUGAGUGAAAAAUUUUCUCGUGCUAGUUGCUUUGGUAGUGAUAAAGGCGCCCGUGGACGAUGUUGAAGUGACUGUAUUUCUUACGUACGAAAAAGCAGGUUGUUUCGGAGGAAGUAAUGCUGCAGCUUCAUUUGACAGCAUGGAUACAACAUCAUUCAUGGUGGGUCUAUCAUCAGCACUUUCUUGUACACAAAGGAGUGCAAUGUUCGCAUAUCUUAAAAGCAUAUGCUUGGAGGAAUAUUCAUCUUCUAAUACUGGAUCAUCAAUCAACUCCAAUGUCCUGUUGCUUGUCCACAGAUCCCAUGCCUGAACAACCAUACGAUGUUAUUAGAUAGUUGUACACUUGAUAUAGAGAAUAGUUUAAAAAUAGUCAGGUGCAAAAAUCCAAACGUUUUCACAUUGUAAAAGUGUGUGUCCACACCUAAGCAUGACGUGGGAAUUAAUAUAUAAUUUCACCUAAGUAGUAUAAAAGAAUAUGUGCAACGACUUUUGUUACGUACAUAACCCAGCAGAUUGAGAUAGUCGGUUCGAUAAAAUCCAGUGUUCUUCUUGCCACUUACAAUCUCAAGCAACAAUACUCCAAAGCUAAACACAUCAGAUUUAAUUGAAAAUAUUCCUUUGAAUGCGUAUUCGGGGGACAUAUAACCACUGUAAUUCAAUAAUUGAUAAAUAAUAAUCAGUAAUUUAUGCAUAACUUAAUCACUUUAAUUUUGAUUUGUGUCAUUCACUUACUAAGUCCCGACGAUCCUACUAGUGUUUGCUUGUAACUCAUUUUCUCCAAAAAUUCUUGCCAUUCCAAAAUCUGAUAUUUUGGGAUUCAUGUCUUUAUUCAACAAGAUGUUACUGGCUUUUAAAUCUCGAUGAAUGAUUCGCAUUCUCGAAUAUUGAUGAAGAUAAAGAAGCCCUUGAGCUAUCCCUUCAAUAAUCCGAAGACGUGUUACCCAAUCUGAUAACAUUCGCUUGGUUGGAUCUAAUUUACAAUAAAAGAACUAAACGUCAUUAUGCAUGAAAACAAAAAAAAUGUAGACUACAUUAUCUAACGUAAAUUGAUCUAGUGACUUAAUUUUUUUUUUUAAUAAAAAAUCUGAUAAUUGGAUGAUGUUAAUCAUUAAACUUAAAAAUAGCUAAAUGAAAUAGUAAAUGUUAAAUAUUCUUUUAGGUUAGGUAAACAAAGGAUUGGAUUGGACUAGUUAUUAAGAUUUAAUUGGAUUGGAUUAGACUGAAUUAUUUUAUAGUCACGUUUUGUGUUUGGUUUAGUAUUGGACGAGAUCAUAUUAAAUAGGGGCGAAGUUAUGAGGGAGCUAACCCGGGCUGUUUCUUGAAAAAAAAUUAAUUAAUUAUAAAUUUACUCUUUUUAAAAAACUUAUAGUAAAAUAUAACUAAUAAUUAUAGUCAAUAUCUAUUUUCUCUAAAUCGAAAAACUCACCUAAAUCCCUAACUAAUUGAUCCAAUUAUCCAAAGUCUAAAUUUCCCAAAACUCAGUUGUUCAAGUCAUCAAGUUGCCACCUCAUGGGUGACGGCUAGCCUCUGCCGCACCCACAUGCUCAUACUGUUUUUGAAUUAGUUAUUAGCUUAUACUUUUGUCAAAAUUUUUGAUAAAAUAAUUAAUAAUUCUCUAAUGUAUUAUUAUCGCAGAUAAUAUCUCUAAUGUAUUACUAUCGCAGAUAACAUAAUUCAGAUACGAUAUAUGAGUUUUCUUUUCUGAAGAAUCACAUGACAAAAUUUCGUUGAUAGUAUUUUUUUAUUUACAUUGUACUUUUAUAGUUUUGUUAUUAGUUUUUCUUGCUUGUCUAGUGUAUUUUAAUCAUUUUAUUUGUAUAGAAUAAUUUUUUUGAGAAGUAAUUGAAUUUAAAAAAAAAAUCUAGCCCACCCCAAAAAAUAGUGAUAGCUUCGCCACUGAUAUUACAUUUAGUUUAAGGAAGUUAAAAAAGCUAUUUAAAAAGUAUGAUUAUUUCUUAAAUUUAUAUUGUUAAUUAUUGAAUAUUAUAUUAGAUAUUCAAUUUCAAUAUAAAUUAAUAAUUGAAUAAUUUUGAUAUUUAGUAUUAUGUAGUAGUUUGAAUAAAUUACUGAAUGUAAUUAUAUGUUUAAUCUUAAAUUAAAUGCUAAAUGCUAUUUUACAUAAAUUAAUGAAUAAAAUUUGGAAAUGUAAUAUAGGCUAAAUUCUAGUUUAAAUAAAUUUUGAAAUAAAUUUUUGAUAUGUAAUUUUAUUUAUUAAAUAUUAGUUCAAACAAAUGUAUGAAUAAAAUUUGAAGUAAGGAACAUGUAAGAAUAAAUGCAAUAACUAACCGAAAAGAAAGAAGUCCAAGCUUUUGUUAGGCAUGUACUCAUAGAUCAGAAUCUUCUCAUCUUUAUCCCUGCAGCAGCCCAAAAGUCUAACAAGAUUCUUGUGCUGAACCUUGGCUAUCACUGAAGCUUCAUUUUUCAUCUCUCGCAAUCCUUGUCCAGAUCUUCCUGAAAGCCGUUUCACAGCUAUCUCAUCUCCUUUUGCUAAUACUCCCUGAAAUUGUAGUUCUUGUUAAAUAAUAAUUAGUCCAUAAGCUUGUUGCCAAAAUUAAAAUUUUACCUUGUAUACAGGACCAAAACCACCUUCCCCGAGUUUAUUUGUGGCAGAGAAAUUAUUUGUUGCUGCACAAACGCUGGAAAAACUGAAAAAGGGCAAUUCAAUUUGCUUUUUUCCACUGUUUCCAUGCUUAUUUGCUUCAGCAAGCUCUAUGUUAAUAGCUUGUUGGUUCAUACCCAAAUCAAAUCGCAUCAAAUCCUCCCCUGAAUGGUGAAGACAUAAAAAAUAUUCGUACUAUAUACUCGAUCAAACAAUCAUGUGUUAUAUAUGCUAUGCGUGAUAAAUUAAUUAACUAAUCUUACGUACCUUUGCUUUCCGGAUUUCUCUUCACAUAACAAAUAAUAAUCAAACCCAAGAGUAUCAUCCCAAACGCAGUUGCGGUCAGCAGCAUCAAGACGAUUACAGAAGGCCUCGCAACGAAUGUUAAUAUUAAGGCGACGAAUGAAGCUAUUACUAAAUUAACAACAGUGAUGACUACAUAACGCUCCAUUGAGCUCAACUGAUUACUGGCCCCAGUUGAGACGGUUCAUCUUAAAGGAAAUAUGAUUGACGCUGAAAAUAGUCUUAUCCAAUUAAGUCUUGCGUGCCGACCCAUCAACGUUGAAUCAUUAGACUGAUUUGUGUUGAUUAUCAUAUAUAAAAACAAACAGGUCCUAAUACUAAGACUUUAGCUAGUUCCCAAAUCUACACUUACCGCGGCCGUGACUCACGAGUGGAGUUCCAAUUAACUGUGAAAGUGAUCUACUGUGAGAAUACUAAAAGAAAUGAUCAGUCCAACCACAGCCAAGUUUGAUUUGGGAAGGCCCAAAAACCUUCGAUGAUCAGAAUUCUUGUAAUUAAAGAAGAAUCAGGUAAUAAGUUAUACCUGUUCGAUCAAUAAUUUUGAAUAUCACCCGUCUGCUGUUAACAAUCUUAAAAAAUCGAAGGUUGGUUUUAUAAAACCAGGAUUCACAUAAUUAAAAAAAUAAUGUGUCACUUUUCAAUAAAUUUUUUUAUGCCACGUUAGUUUGCACAUACCAAUUUAUAUAAAAUUAUUUGUACUAUAUCAUUAUUGAAUUGAUAAAGUGAAUAGAUUCAUCUUUUACUAGCUUUGUGCAUUUUUAUGUGUAAAAAGCAUCACUCAAAAAAGAAAAUAAUAAAGCCUUUUAUGAUCCCCUAGAAACGAAGGAUUCUAAUCAAUUUUUUUUUUCUUUCCAUCAGACCUCUUCAACGCUUAAAGUAUACUAGGGAUGCACAAAUAGCGGAAAACUGGAAAUGCAUAUAUAAAGUGUUCUGGACAAUGGAGAUGAUAUAGUUUUACUAUUUUAGAUACUCUGCUAUUUAUGGGCCACUUGUGCUUGUAGCCCAAUGGCUUGGGGCUCGUUCUCUUUAAAUAAGGUCGAUUUCCACCAAAGCAACAUUAGUAAGAACAGAUUUUCGAGAUUACUGCUAAUUUAGAGUCCUGUAAUUUUUAGUUAUUUUAAAUCGUAUGUAUAUAUUUGCAACAAAUUAAAAAAGAAUAAAGGAUUUCUCAAAAAAUGAAAAAAGAAAAAAAAAUAAUACUUUUGUGUUAUGCUGUUAGAUUUGGAAAAGCCUUUACAGUGAUUGGAUAGAUUUUUAUUUGCUUAACAAUUAUUUUACUGCUAAUUUUAUAUUUAACAAUUCUUUAUAAUCAGUAAACAUGGUACUUCUGAUAAUAAAAACACUCCUUGAUUUGAAAAAAAUUAAUCAUUUGAUCAUGGAUAUCAACGGAUCGCGCACUUUGCAAUUUUCAUUAUUCUUGUUGCCUUGGUGUCUGCUGUCUUCUUGAUUGUCCACUACCUGUUAAGAAUAAGUUGAGUCAGCUCUGUGAGGCUCUGUGAUGUCAGCAAAUUGUUAAGUGAAGUAAUGAAUCAGAUGCCACGCUACUGGAAGCUACUGGAAGAUUAUUAUGCAUGUUGUUAAAAGUUUGUUAUAAGUCUGUUAUUUCCCACCAAAAUGUUGUGGUGAAUAGCAGUGUGCGCAUAUGAUUCUGCUACAUUCACAAAGUUCCAGAUGCUACUAUAUAUAUACUGUAUUGUAAUCUCAGUCUAUUGUAUCAAAUCAUAAUUUUCCUCUCUAAGUCAACAUAAUUUCCUUCAUUUCUUGCCAGACAAACAAGCAUACAGAAUAUAAAACUUUAAUUCUACCAACUUCUUUUAUGAUCAUCUCGAUGGCCAUGUCAUCCAGUUUUUGCGGAGUAAAAAUCGUUGGAGCAGUAGAAUGAUUCUACAUCAAAGGCUACAACCUUCGGAUCAUUCUUUAAUUGAGAGACAUUAUCUUUAGUAUUUUUGGGAGAUGGGAGAAGGGACCACGUGUUCAUAGAAUAUAAAUUCUAUAGAGUGGCGACAUACUGUUGACUUAAAAGUCUUACUAGGAAGAGGAAGCAAAAAAAUGUGUGGUGCACAUAAAGUUUUCACUUGGGUGAGAUUAUAACAAGAUGGCAGCAAUCACCAAGAGAGAGUCUCAUAUAAUAUAUAAGGUUCCAAUAGUUUCUAAUCUCUUAAAUCUAAUGAAUCACUUGAUAUUUGAGCAUGGCUUCGUAGAAGUAGGGAUUUGGACAUCAAAUCACAUAAAAAUCUUAAUGUAUGCUUUACUUUAAAGCACUCUAUUUUUAUGCAUUAACUUUGUCUAAUAAACUUUUAAUUAAAAUUGAUAAGCCUACUAAAAUGGGCUAAACCAUUGAAUGGCUUGAAUUUGGAUUCAUGAUUAUAAGAACCCAAUUUGCGGUUAAUUGAUAAUGCACAUUCAAAUAGACAUUGAAGAGUAAUGAUAAUUUGCAUAUACUGUAAACAACUUGAAUUUUUAUUAUUGUCACACUUGCAAUAAGAUCAAGACAUAUCAUAAUCAUUUUAUCGUUGUUGUAGGCCCAUUGAUUUUCUGCUUUGUUGAGCUUGAGCCAACAUAUUUUGAAUGAUUUUUUGAAAUAUUUUCAAAAUAGAUUUUGGAUGAUAUGGGAUUAUUGGUGAUCCUCAAGAAUUGAGAGAUCAAAGAUACGCUAUUGAUGGUAGUAUAUGAACAAAAAAGUAAACGAACCUGUGGCAAGUGCAGAUAGAUAUAAGUCUUUGCUGUUGCAGGGUUGUGAUUUUCUGCCCCAUUACUCCAGUCAUAACACACCUACAGGAAAUGCAAGAUAAGAUUUAGAAUGACACUUUUCUAGUUUAAGUUUAAAUGUCCAAGAAAUCAAUGCACUAUGCCAUGCCAGGAUCAGAACAUAGCAGGAAGAACCAGAAAUUUUAGUUGUUUAAUUUCAUGGAAACGCAAAUUCAGGUAACAUUGAAUUAACAUGAGCCAUAGAAGACUAAGCAUCAUGCAAACAGACAGAAUGAAAGAGGCGUGGAUUUCUAGAAUCCUGCCAUUAUCUUGAACUUAAGCAUAUAUCCCAACAUGUGUGAAAAGUAGGAUGAUAAGAGACUCCAAGUCGACUUUAGGAAGAUGGAUGAAUUUAUUUACCAAGCACACAAAUAUCGAGCCAUCAUUAUUGAAUGUACUGCAAGGUAUAGGUUGCCCGCACCUUGACAUGGCCUGAAAAUCCAGUAAAAAUCACAUUGUUUUAUGUAUUUCAUCUAGGAAGAACAAUAACGACAACAACAAUAAUUGUUAUUGAAGUACUGAAUGAAAGUCAAAACACCUUGAGCCGCUGUUUACUAUCCUUGUCCCAAAAAUUAAAUGCACCAUCAGAUCCGGCAGUUGCAAAAGUGUGAUGUAUCUGGACAAAAAGAACAAUUACAUGAAGAAUACUUAGGUGCAUCUCCUGCUCUACAAAUCUUAAAUGAUAACAUAUGAUGUUAAUAACAGCAAAAGUAUAUGCACUGAGCAUUGAAAUCCUCACAAAAGAAAGUACAUUUCCACUGUUGGAUAAAAAUUCCUAUGAUACCAACAUCUUAAGGGCACCAAGAUCUAAUACUUGAAAGAUCUCUAAUCUUUAGAGAAAUUACAAAUACUGGGAAAAAUUAUGUAAGACAUGGGUGGCAUGCUAAAGUUACCUCAAAAUGAGCUAUUAUAUCACUCCAAUGUAUACUUUUAUUUCUAAGUUUUACAUCUCGAACGUUUUAUGUAACUGAAAAUUUGAAAUCAGAAAGCACUAAAAGGAAGCUUACAGGAUGGAAGUGAAUGAGAUGACAGAGCAUGUCUCACUACCGUCUCUGUGGCAUUUGAAAGUGAAGUUCUUACUUUGCUGUGAAUCAUCAAGAUGGUGAACGCCGACCCUUCCCUCAAUUGAACCAACCUAUCGGAAUAACACCAUAUUCAACAACCAAAAAAUAAGAGAAGCACAAAGAUUAGAAGAAAAGACAGUGAUCUCAAUGAAAAGAAGUUGGAGCCAAUGUUGAUGAAAGUGGAAUAAGUAAUUGAGGCUAAACUUAGCCCCUCAUUGCUGGCAGGGGAAGCAAAUUUUGAAACAUGGGAAUAUGCAACCCAAUUGACAAUGCCUCAUAUUUCGAGAAUAAAGACCAUGAGGAACGAGAAAAGAGAGAUCAAAAUAAAUGAAUGCAUACCCAGAAACCUUGCUGGUCAGGAAAGGCAGCAACACAUCUCAUCUGGUACUUCAAAGGGGAAUUGAUUCUCUUGAACUCAGUCUGGUAGCAUUAAACAAUGAUUAGACAUACUCGGAAGAAAAUGCAUAUAUUAGAUAUAAAUAAGUGAAACAAAAUAUAAAAAGAACAAUACAUGAAGGUAAAAUAUGGAAAUCAAUAAAUACCCAACAAAAAAGUUAAAUAGUAACAAGAAUUCAUCGCCUCUUGACCAUUUUUAUGUUGCAAUAAGCAUGUGCCAUAUAUGGUAAAUUGUAAUACAGGUAAUGCGGAAACCGUUAUCUAAACUCUCAUGAUAGUGUAUGAAGAUAUAGUAUUGUACCCAACCUUUAGUUCAAAUUUCUAAAUUAGCCAGAUUUCAAAAUUUCUAGGAGCUAUUAUAUCUUAUUUAUAUCAUCAUCACAUAAGAACAGAUAAAGCAUGACUGAAAUUAUCAACUAAAAUUGAAAGAUAUAAGGCAAAUAAACACAUUCCAAAUUGCUAUUUUUUUCAAUUAAAAAGGAAUAUUGAAGACAUGGAAAUACAUACUAUAACUGUAGUGUAUAUAUGUUGGCAAAUCUACAAACAUCAAGCUCUUCUCAGUAGACCAGUUUAUUAUAGUAUCCAUUCCUCCUUGUACACAAACAAAAUGAUAUCGAGAAAUAACCUUUUUCCAGACAACACCAAUCAGAAGAAAAAUAUCUGGCAACAAAAGAAAUCAUACAAUAAUUUUAUACAGGAUGCUCCAUGACAUUGAGGAACCCUUUUGAAUACAAGGGAAGGUGGUUCCAUACGGUAGGAUAGCUUUCAAUUCCAAAAACAGUCAACAAAUAAUUAUUGUUUCCAUUCCACAUUAAAAAAGAUGGGUUCAAGUUAAAUUUUAAAUCAAAGUCAACCAACUACUAGUGUCACAGCAACUGCUGCCACUCAAAACACAUGCUUCAGCUGCCAGCACCAAAUUUGCCCAUUUAAUUUACACAUAUAAAUCAAUGCUCUCAUGGAAUAAAAAACGAUACCUGAGGAUUCUGCAAGUUGAAGACAACUAGAUUUCUAUCUGCAGUUCCAACAACCAUAAGCGGAGCGCAUAGCAGCGAUCAGGCAGCUGUUGAGUGCGCACAGGAUUUGGCUGCCUUGUAUCCCAGUACCUAAUUACAUAUUGAAACAUCAAGAGGAUAAAGAUCUCAAAUACAAGAACAUCAAGAGAGUACAAGUGACUGAUCAACUACACGCAAAAUCAUACAAAGUGCACAUGGCACCACAUGGAGACACAGUAAACUGUUGACCACAUCAGAUACCAAACAGAAAUGAAAGGAUAUAACGGAGAAAGAAAAGAGCAUGACACACAACUUAGAGAAGAAAGAAAGACAAAAACCUACGAUAUUAAAGCACUCAUCAAGGGCGUUUCUCUUUAAACAACGCCUAAAUUAUAUAAGUAUGGGAAAAGAGUGCCGACAAUUUGAGAGUCCAUAGCCCCUGCCAGCUCAUAUCCACUUUGAGCAUCGGUAAUUGUCAGUACAAGUUAGCAUGGCAGAACUAAACACGCCCAACAUUUCCAUUCAUUCAUCUGAACACAACAUGGCCACUCUUCUGUUUGAGGUCAUGUGAACUGACCACUUAACUAUCCACGUGCACAUAUUGUCCAACUUAGCAAGAAGGUCAUUAUACUCAACUACACAAUGAAGACAUCUAACAGAUGAACUUCUAAUAAUAAAAGCAAUUUACUGCCCGAACCAAAAUGCCACAUAGACUGCAAUUUUAAAUUCAUAUAAAAAGAAGUGAAAAUUCUUACUUCAAUGUCUUCUGUAUGAAAAUCACACUAUAAACUACCAAGCACUACUAGCAAGCCUGAUGAUUCACUUACUAACUACUGUUCUUUUACACUGAAACUCCAACACAUUCACAAGCUUAGCAAUUGGUUCGCUUUCAACAAUCCGUUCAGCAAGACAGCAAGCAAACAAAUGAUCAUAGCUUCGCAUACAUAUUUAGCAUUAAAAAAAAAAAUCUUUAUCCGAAAAUGUAGAAUUAAUUUUUACAUUAACACAAGCAAUUAAGCUUAACCCUGACAAAAAUAUAUAAUAAAUAAUUUAUAUAACUUUCUACUUAAUCCUAAUAAUAACAUCACCAUAAGCAUUAAUUCAACAGUCGCCAAGUUCAUCAUACACAAGAAACCGACAAGAAAUUUAACGGUAAAUAAUUUUUAAAGAUUAUCGAAAAGAAAAAAUAAUAAAGAAAAUAAAUAAAUAAAGUAUACCUCGAUGGACUUGUUAGGGUUUUGAUUGGUGGCAACGGCAGCAGCACCGAAAGUAGCCAUUAUUGCUUGAAGCAGUUCAGUUAAUUUGCUAUUAACUUGCUAAUUUUUUAUCGUUUCGUGAUAUUUAGUUGGUGAGUGACAGAGCGAAAGAUUAUUUGUUGAUUCGGUGAUGAUUUUGAAAGAAGAGGGAAACGAGAAGUAAAAGAGAAAAGCUAUUUAUAGAGAGGACAGAGGAGAAAUGUUGUGGGUGUAGGUUAAGACUCUGCGCAUACCCCGUGUAGCCUGUAUCAACGCCUGUCAACUGAAACGCGCAAAAACUACGACCAUCCAGCCAAGGCUUGAGUUGAGUUGCCGCUAGGGAUGGCAGAAAAGUGAGCGCCCGGCCCAGUCAGGCUUCGGCUCCACUUUUAGGCUUCGAGUCGGAUCGGGCUCGGUCUAGGGGUUAAUCAAGAAAGUCUGAGUCCGAUCCUUCAGCCCGACAAUUAAAUAUUAAAAAAAAAAUGCUCUGCUGUACGGCCAAGGCGGAUGUACGGUACAGCAGCAUCGAGAGCGUAACUUACCUGGGAAUAGGUGCAAACGAGAAUUGAAUAAAAGCNNNNNNNNNNNNNNNNNNNNNNNNNNNNNNNNNNNNNNNNNNNNNNNNNNNNNNNNNNNNNNNNNNNNNNNNNNNNNNNNNNNNNNNNNNNNNNNNNNNNNNNNNNNNNNNNNNNNNNNNNNNNNNNNNNNNNNNNNNNNNNNNNNNNNNNNNNNNNNNNNNNNNNNNNNNNNNNNNNNNNNNNNNNNNNNNNNNNNNNNNNNNNNNNNNNNNNNNNNNNNNNNNNNNNNNNNNNNNNNNNNNNNNNNNNNNNNNNNNNNNNNNNNNNNNNNNNNNNNNNNNNNNNNNNNNNNNNNNNNNNNNNNNNNNNNNNNNNNNNNNNNNNNNNNNNNNNNNNNNNNNNNNNNNNNNNNNNNNNNNNNNNNNNNNNNNNNNNNNNNNNNNNNNNNNNNNNNNNNNNNNNNNNNNNNNNNNNNNNNNNNNNNNNNNNNNNNNNNNNNNNNNNNNNNNNNNNNNNNNNNNNNNNNNNNNNNNNNNNNNNNNNNNNNNNNNNNNNNNNNNNNNNNNNNNNNNNNNNNNNNNNNNNNNNNNNNNNNNNNNNNNNNNNNNNNNNNNNNNNNNNNNNNNNNNNNNNNNNNNNNNNNNNNNNNNNNNNNNNNNNNNNNNNNNNNNNNNNNNNNNNNNNNNNNNNNNNNNNNNNNNNNNNNNNNNNNNNNNNNNNNNNNNNNNNNNNNNNNNNNNNNNNNNNNNNNNNNNNNNNNNNNNNNNNNNNNNNNNNNNNNNNNNNNNNNNNNNNNNNNNNNNNNNNNNNNNNNNNNNNNNNNNNNNNNNNNNNNNNNNNNNNNNNNNNNNNNNNNNNNNNNNNNNNNNNNNNNNNNNNNNNNNNNNNNNNNNNNNNNNNNNNNNNNNNNNNNNNNNNNNNNNNNNNNNNNNNNNNNNNNNNNNNNNNNNNNNNNNNNNNNNNNNNNNNNNNNNNNNNNNNNNNNNNNNNNNNNNNNNNNNNNNNNNNNNNNNNNNNNNNNNNNNNNNNNNNNNNNNNNNNNNNNNNNNNNNNNNNNNNNNNNNNNNNNNNNNNNNNNNNNNNNNNNNNNNNNNNNNNNNNNNNNNNNNNNNNNNNNNNNNNNNNNNNNNNNNNNNNNNNNNNNNNNNNNNNNNNNNNNNNNNNNNNNNNNNNNNNNNNNNNNNNNNNNNNNNNNNNNNNNNNNNNNNNNNNNNNNNNNNNNNNNNNNNNNNNNNNNNNNNNNNNNNNNNNNNNNNNNNNNNNNNNNNNNNNNNNNNNNNNNNNNNNNNNNNNNNNNNNNNNNNNNNNUCUUGACCUGCUUGUCACAUCCUCCAGAGAAGACAGUAGUUCCAUCAUCCUUUCAUGUUGAGCAUAGGACCUUCAAAUUUCAAAGAUAAGAAAAAGGUUAAAUUAUCAGCAAUCACAAAUUCAACAGUAUGUUAUUCUAACUACCACAAAUCUUGCUUUAGAUUACCGGAUGGUCAUGCGAAAUUGAUGCCUUGGGCACACUGGCCACACCAGUUCCGCUGCGUGAAAUUUCCCAACACCUUACCUGUGGGAAACCAAUUGGGCAAACCUGAUUAUCCCAUGAGGUUGCAACCAAGAUAUUGGCCUUGGGACUGAAACAAAGGCUUGAAACAGAAUCACUGGGAGGUUGAGACACCUGCCAUUGAAAAAUUUCACGUAAGUACUCCUUUUCUAACAGCUUCGAUGACAGAACUACACUUCACAUACAACUACAUGACAAAUAUCAACGUCUAGCAUAUAAAUUUGGAACCUAUGACCAGAAACAAUUUAUCUCAUUUGAAAAUUUGGUGCAUCAAACUUUUACAUGAUCAAUUGUAGAAAACUUAUCUUCAUUAACCUAAUAUGAACUUAACAUUCCGACCGAGUUUUCUGUAUGAAAAUCACACUAUAAACUUCCAAACACUACUAGCAAACCCGAUGAUUCACUUACUAACUACUGUUCUUUUACACUGAAACUCCAACACAAUCACAAGCUUAGCAAUUGGUUCGCUCUCAACAAUCCGUUCAGCAAGAAAGCAAGCAAACAAAUGAUCAUAGCUUAGCAUGCAUUAUUUUGCAUUAAAAAAAAAAAUUCUUUAUCCGAAAAUGUACAAUUAAUUUUUACAUUAACACAAACAAUCAAGCAUAAACCUGACAAAAAUAUCUAAUAAAUAAUUUAUAUAUCUUUCUACUUAAUCCUAAUAACAUCAUCAUAAGCAUUAAUUCAACAGUCGCCAAGUUCAUCAUACACAAGAAACCGACAAGAAAUUUAACGGUAAAUACUUUUUAAAGAUUAUCGGAAAGAAAAAAGAAUAAAUAAAGUAUACCUCGAUGGAUUUGUUAGGGUUUUGAUUGGUGGCAACGGCAGCAGCACCGAAAGUAGCCAUUAUUGCUUGAAGCAGUUCAGUUAAUUUGCUAUUAACUUGCUAAUUUUUUAUCGUUUCGUGAUAUUUAGUUGGUGAGUGACAGAGCGAAAGAUUAUUUGUUGAUUCGGUGAUGAUUUUGAAAGAAGAGGGAAACGAGAAGUAAAAGAGAAAAGCUAUUUAUAGAGAGGACAGAGGAGAAAUGUUGUGGGUGUAGGUUAAGACUCUGCGCAUACCCCGUGUAGCCUGUAUCAACGCCUGUCAACUGAAACGCGCAAAAACUACGACCAUCCAGCCAAGGCUUGAGUUGAGUUGCCGCUAGGGAUGGCAGAAAAGUGAGCGCCCGGCCCAGUCAGGCUUCGGCUCCACUUUUAGGCUUCGAGUCGGAUCGGGCUCGGUCUAGGGGUUAAUCAAGAAAGUCUGAGUCCGAUCCUUCAGCCCGACAAUUAAAUAUUAAAAAAAACAAUUCUAGUUGUAUUUUGGUUGUAGCUUUUUAAAUUCAGUUUAUUUAAAUGGGUUUAUAUUAGCAGAGUUUUUACAAAUAGAUAUUUUACGCAAAAAAAUUUAUUUUUUGGUUGUCAAUAUUUUAUUAAAAGUUAUAAAAAUGAUUUUAAUAUGUAAGUUUUUUAAAGUUAGGUUAUGAAAAAUAAUGAAAUAAAGUUGUCAAAUAAGUAAAUAAUAUUUUAAACAUUUUAGUAUUUUACAAAAAAAAUUUCAACUUUUACUCUCAAAAGUCCUAAAUUUAAGCUUUUGAUAGUGGACACCAAAUAUCUUAUUUAAUAUUAAAAAAAUUCUACUAAACAAAUAAUCAAACAAUAACAAAAAAUUUGAUUAAGAGCUUAUGGGAUUAAAUAAAUACUUAAAACUAUUAGACAAGUCAUAGCAAAUAGACACUUACUAAUUGCAUUGUGAUAAUUGAUAUUGUAUUUGUUUCUAUUCAAUUUUAUUUUAAUUUAAUGUAAUUUUAUUAUAUUAAGUGUCACUAUUACUAAUUAUUAAUUAGUGUUAUUUACUAUUAAUAACUUUUUUCCCCAUUUUCAUCUUUUUGUCUUUCUUUCCUUCUGAAGGUUGCUUUUUCCUUCUUUAUAAAGGUUAGUCUUUCCUUCCAUACUUCCAUGUGAAGGCUAACUUUUCUUUCUUUGUGAAGAUUGGUUUCCAAUUCAUUCAUAUUAUUUUAAGUCUCUACAAUAAAUAAAAACAUAUUAUUAAAAUAAAUAUAAUAAUUUAUAUAUUUAAAUUUAUUAAAAUAUUAAAAUAUUAUUAGUCAGCUGCAUAGAUUACAUUAUUUAUAUAAUAUUUGUAUUUGUUAAACAUUUUAAAGUCUAUUUUUUUGGGGAAUAAUAGAGAUAAAGAGUAUAAUAGUCAAAAUGAGUCUUAACAUCCUUUUAUGAAAACUUAGGAGUGUUGGUGACUACUUCUCCACAUUUUGCAAGUGGAGAUGUCUUUUUCCCCUUACUAAUAUGUAUUAUACAAUUAGAAGUCUACUCAUAAACCAUCUAGAUCAACUCUAUUAUAGCAUAACCUAUAAUUCUAUCUUACAAAUACUGGAAGGUUAUUUGUUCUACCUACAAAAAUCAAUAGAGAAAAUUCAUAUCUUUACGUAAUUUUUAAUUAGGAGAGUAAAAUUUAAGAGGACUUGGAAGAGUUAGAGUUUACCACUUGGCUAAUGGCUGAGACUAGGGGUGGGCAUUCGGUUCGGGUUAACCCGAACCGAACCAAACCCGAAAUUUAUUUCGGAUUCGGUUCGGUUUGGGUUAACCGGUGAAACCCCAACGGAUUCAAAGCUUCAACCCAUUCGGGUUAAAAUUUAGUUUGGGUUCAACCCGAACCGAAUUCUCAACCCGUUCGGGUUGAAGCCUUUUUUUUUUUUUUUUCGUGCGUUCACCUCGCGUCCCACUCAGCCCAACACGGUCUCGAUCUGCCGACGUUGUAGCUGCUCCGAGAUCAAGGUUUGUCUCGCUUUGCCGACGCUGUAAGCCUGUAACUUGCUGACUUGCUUGCAGCUGAUGGCAACAACCCGAAUCGAAUUUCGAAUUUCCUAUUACUAACUCAAUGCUGUAACGUAGUUUUAAUGGAGCUUCAUUGACUAAUAAUUAAUUGAGCUGUAACGUAGUUUUAAUUGAGCUUCAUUGACUAAUAAUUAAAUUUUAUAUUUUUAAUUAAUUGAUUGGCAAUUAUUCAAUUAUUUGGAGUGUGUUUGUUGUUGUUGACUGAUAAUUAAACAAAUGGAGAUUGUUAUUAGUUAAAUUGGAGUGGGUUUACUGAUAAUUGAACAAUUGGAGACUGUUAUUAAUUAAAUUGGAGUGGGUUUGUUGCUGUUAUUAAUAAUUAAAUUAGAGAUUGUUAAUUAAUUAAUUGAUUAACCCGAACUAACCCGAAUUAUUCUAACCCAAACUAACCCGAACCGAUAUGUUAACCCGAAUUAUCAACCCAAUCCGAUCCGAAUUGCCAACUCAAACCGAACCGAACCGAAUUAAAUUCGGUUCGGUUUGGUUCGAGUUGGCGUUUUCAACCCGAUUGGGUUCAAUUCUCCAACCCGAACGGGUUGAAACCCAAACCGAAACCCGAACAACCCGAACCGAAACCCAAUUUGCCCACCCCUAGCUGAGACACAAGUCGGUAACAAAAAUAAUAUUAAAGUUAGAUAAAUUAUGUACAACUAUAUUCAAUGUAAAAAUUGCACAAUAUUAAUAACUCAAAAUAAUUGAUAAUAAAAAUGUUAUUGGGGCACAUACAUAAAAGCUUUUAUUUGUUUAUUUGAGAGUUUUUCUUUUUCAUUUAUUUAAAAGUAAGAGUGAUGGAAAAAGUUCAAAUCAAUUUUUUAUAAAUUUUUAAUUCUAUUUUUUUCAAUAUUUGAACUCAUGUUAUAAUUGAAUAAAAUUAUUUGAAGACCAUUCAACUAAGGUUUGGUUUGGGAAUCUAGGGAUUGAGAGUAUGGAGUGUGAGUGAAAAUAUGUUGUUUACUUACAUUGAAAGGAGAGUGUGGAAUAGGAGAAUCGUAUUUAUAUAUUUUUACUUUGACUUGGAUUAGGAGUAAAUUAUUUUAAAUUACACUUUUACCCUUAUUUAAAAUAUUGUAGUUUUUAAUUAUAAAGUAAAUAAAAAAUAUAUUUAUAAAAUAAAUUAUAUAAUUACAUAAAUUACUAAUAAUUAUUAAUAUUCUUAAUCAUGUAAAUCAUAAUUUUUUAUUAAUUUUAAUUAUGUAAAUUACAUAAUAAUAUUAUUUAAAUAAAUAUGAUGUUAUUAUUUUUAAAUAAUGUAACAUUAUUUUAUUUUUAAAAAAUAUAAAAUUCCUGCUGUACCGUACAUCCGACAUAAGAGCAAAAAAUGAAACAUUAUUAUUAAUAAUAUAGUACAUAAUUAAUAUUUUCUUAAAAUAAACUAUUUAUUAAUAUUAAAUAAAUAUAAAAUAUUAUUUUUUAAAAUAAAGAUAGUAUAUUGUAAUAAUAUUAAUUCUCUAUGAAUAUAAUAAUAAUAUUUUUAGGUAAUUUUAACUUAGAUUACAUAAAUUAUUAUUUUUAACUAAACAUAAUAAUAUUAUUUAAAUAAAUAUGAUGCUAUUAUUUUUAAAUAAUGUAACAUUAUUUUAUUUUUAAUAAAUAUAAAAUUUAUUAGAUUUGAUAAAGAAAUGAUAAUAAAGAAAGAGGUGGGAGUGGCCCCUGUAGAAGUGAGAAUCCCACUCUUUACUCGGAAAAUGAGUGGGAUCCAUGGAGUGGGACUCUCAUUCCCCUCAUUAUAUAAACAAGAAAACAUUGAAGUGGAAAGAAUUCAUACUAUUUACUCUCAUUUCAAUAAUUAAACAUAACAUAAACUAAUAUUUUGAACAAACUACUAGGCUAGGCCACAAGGGCCCGAAGCCUUUUUGGGCUCAUUUCUUGGACGGACUCAUGAAAAGUUAUCUUCUAAGUUCUUCUUUCUACUCUAUAAAACUUCCCAAGUAAACAAAUGGAAUAUGAUCAUGAAUCGCUGUGUAUCUAGCUUGGUGUAGGAAUCAUACACAAUCUUGCACAUAUUAAUUUAGUACGGACUCUCGAAGAUUUAUUGCGUGUGAAAUGAGCCAAUAUAGAUCUAAAUUGGAGCCAAUUUUGAGAUAAAGAUUUAAUAACAGUUAUAGAUAGGCCCUUAUUUCAAAUUAUUGUCAACUUCAUCAAACAGGGAAUAAAAGAAAUCUCAAAUAUCUAUGACAUAAGAGAAAAGCAAAAGCUAGCUUACAUGAUUAUUCAAAAGGAGAGAUAUAAAUCACUUCACACACGGAAUCGCCGAUAUAUAAAUUUGUAGAUAAGAUCGUUAUACCAUUUAUUUACCCGCACGGAAAACAUUAGAGGUGAAACAACUGCUCCGAAGCCUACCGCAAAUCCAACUGACAUGGCUAUGAAGAACCAAUCAAUUUCAUCGCUUGAAGCUGGCGGCGGUGAAGGUUGAAGUUCGGGAGGACGUGUUUGGCUGUCAUUCGUCAAAGGAGGUCCGUACAAUCCUUUGUUUCCUUCAUAAGAAGUCGGUGAAAAUGAUUGGAGUUGAGUACCUGUCGGAAUCUUUCCCACUAAGUUAUUGUAUGAGAGAUUUAGCACCGAUAGGAAAUUUAGGCUUGCAAGCUGGGCAGG
rnacentral:lncRNA from 1 species